UACGGAGGGUGCAAGCGUUGUUCGGAAUCACUGGGCGUAAAGCGCGUGUAGGCGGCCUCCUCAGUCUGGUGUGAAAGCCCGGGGCUCAACCCCGGAAGUGCAUUGGAUACUGGGAGGCUGGAGUACCGGAGAGGAGGGUGGAAUUCCUGGUGUAGCGGUGAAAUGCGUAGAUAUCAGGAGGAACACCGGUGGCGAAGGCGGCCCUCUGGACGGAUACUGACGCUGAGACGCGAAAGCGUGGGGAGCAAACAGG
rnacentral:rRNA from 1 species